GGCCAUGUUGGUUAACAGAUCCUCAUCUGCUGGACGUCUGGCGAUGAUCUUUAUCGGUUGUCGUCAGUUGCCAGCACGUUUACUUUGAGAAAAUUAGAGUGCUAAAAGCAGGCUCACGCCUAUAUAUAUUGCAUGGAAUAAUGAAAUAAGAUCUCGAUUUUAUUUCGUUGGUUUUAGAAAUUGAGACAAUGAUUAAUAGGAUCAGAGGGGGGCGUACGUACUGUGGUGUGAGAGGUGAAAUUCUUGGAUCGCCACAGGACGAACAGCAGCGAAGGCGUUCGCCAAGAAUGUUUUCAUUAAUCAAGAACGAAAGUUUGAGGUUCGAAGACGAUUAGAUACCGUCCUAGUUCAAACCAUAAACGUUGCCAACUGUCUUUUAGAUGCGGUUAUUUAUAUGACUCAUCUGGCGGAUCUCGAGAAAUCUAAGUUUUUAGGUUCCGGGGGAAGUAUGGUUGCAAAGCUGAAACUUAAAAGAAUUGACGGAAGGACACACAAGAAGUGGAGCCUGUGGCCUAAUUUGACUCAACACGGGAAACCUUACUCGGCCAGGACACUUUUAGGAUUGACAGAUUGAGAGCUCUUUCUUGAUUAGGUGGGUGGUGGUGCAUGGUCGUUCGUAGUUCGUGGAGCGAUUUGUCUGAUUAAUUUCGAUAACGAACGAGACUCCGGCUUACUAAAUAGUCUAAAGUUCGAAGGGACUUUUCAAGACUUCUUAGCAGGAUAAGUGG
rnacentral:rRNA from 1 species